rnacentral:lncRNA from 1 species
AGUCAUCCGACUAGUUAUAUGCUCACGCAGCUAGUCACACAAAUGGCAUGUCACCAGCACUCACAAAUAAUAUCACCUUCAAAUAAUCACAUCACGUGGAAAUUGGUCUGUGGCGUCACCGAAACCCCCGAUGAGCCGUCCUCCCACAUGGCUCAUCCUCUCAUAACGUGUGCACCAGGGAGCCGAUCCCCCAUACUGGUCGACCGGUCUAAUCCUCACUUGACCAGCCCUCUCAUUGUUUUUCCAUUCUCUCUUUUCUUUUNN